GUUCAUGGCUCAGGAUGAACGCUAGCGACAGGCUUAACACAUGCAAGUCGAGGGGCAUCAUGAGGUAGCAAUACCUUGAUGGCGACCGGCGCACGGGUGAGUAACGCGUAUGCAACCUGCCCGAUACCGGGGUAUAGCCCAUGGAAACGUGGAUUAACACCCCAUAGUACUUUUAUCCUGCCUGGGAUGGGAGUUAAAUGUUCAAGGUAUCGGAUGGGUCGAUGCGUCCGUACUUAUUAGUUAGG
rnacentral:rRNA from 1 species